GGAUGAAGAACGUAGCGAAAUGCGAUAAGUAAUGCGAAUUGCAGAAUUCAGUGAGUCAUCGAAUCUUUGAACGCACAUUGCGCCCUGUGGUAUUCCGCAGGGCAUGCCUGUUCGAGCGUCAUUUCAACCCUCAAGCUCUGCUUGGUGUUGGGCCACGCCCUCGCGGCCGGCCCCAAAGCCAGUGGCGGCGCCGUCCGGCUCUAAGCGUAGUACAUCUCUCGCUCUAGGGCCCGGCGGCUGCCUGCCAGAACCCCAAACUCUUAUGGUUGACCUCGGAUCAGGUAGGGAUACCCGCUGAACUUAAGCAUAUCAAUAAGCGGAGGA
rnacentral:misc_RNA from 1 species